rnacentral:Y_RNA from 1 species
GGCUGGUCCGAAGGUACUGAGUUAUCUUCACUUGAUUGUUCACAGUCAGUUACAGAUUGAAGUUCUUGUUCUACCACCUUCCCCACUUCUCACUGCUGCACUUGACUAGUCUAAA